CCACCUCCAGUUGAUCGAAAGGUUAUUCGAGAUAUCCUUCUUGCUUCAACAAUUUCAUUUGCAUGCUUGCAAUCGAACCCAAAGUCUCGACCUACGAUGCAAUAUGUGUCUCAAGAAUUUCUCAUCACUCGCAAGACUCCAUUGGUAAAGCAUGCUGCUAUUCAAGAUAUUUCCAUCUCAGAACUUAGAAACUAAUAAAAGGAUGUAUUUGAUUGAUCAAUGUGAUUUGCUAAUCUUAAAUGUAUUUCAUUGAUGGUAUUUUGUAAAACUUUGGUGAGGGUGAAUUUUGGUGAAAUUGGUGUUUCCAAUCUAAACGAUUACAUCUUUAAUUAUUGUUUCUGAGUGAAUUGCAUGUGCAAAUAAGGUCAGCAAGUUUUGUUAUUCUGCUUAGGAAACCUUCUUCCAUCCGCAUUAUUUUUAUAAAUUAAUAUCGUGUGCAAUAUCUGCCUCUCGUUAUUAUCUUUCAACCGCACAAAUAAAUAAUCAUAAUAAUAGCAAUAAUUAUUGUAACUCAUGAGUUGUCCGAACAGUAAAUCAAAGUUGGAAUAUUUCCAUAUUGUGGCAUGACAUGGGCUUUUCUUCUCAAUCAAAUUUUAACAAAUUUUGGAUUCUCUAUUUUCACUAUUUAAUUGAGUAGACUGCAGUAUGAAUGUAGACAAAUCGUUAGCCUUACUUCACAGAAGUUUCAUUGCAAGUCGUUUUGCAUUGGCGCAUAAGAGUGAUCAAUUGAAUAGGAACGGCAAUGUUGAAGUUGAUAUGAUAAAAGCGAAAAUGACUAGAUAUUCCGCAAAGUCUAAAAUUCAAGAAAUUGAAGCACCAAUCAAGUGAUCAAAUUCUCUCAUGUAAUUAAUUAUCAUCAAUUGGCUUGAAGGUCGUCAAGAAGGCAGUGGGUUGACAAAUUAAAUUAAAUUGUUCUUUCAUAAAUGGUAAAUAAAUAUAAUCAAUCAAAGACCUAGGUCAUAUUUGGUAUUAAGGUAUUGUAAUUUCUAAGUUAUAACUACUUUGGAACAAAAAUGUAAUUAUAAAAUAAAAGCUGAGAAUGUAUAAUCAAUAUAACUUUUAACUAAUAUUUUUGCCAAAAAUAAUAAAGAUAUUAUAGGUUUCUCAUCUUACAAGUGUGAGAUCAAAUCAACUUAACUUUUAUACCACAAUUGGCAGUACUUGGUAUUAAUUUAUUGACUAUCUUGAGUCAAUAAAUUAAGGACAAUGACUAUCUUGAGUCAUGAAUAAAAGACCAUUUAUUUAUACUAAUAAAAAUCUGUGUGGCUCCAAAACCAAUUUUUACUGAUUACUUGAUUAUUUUUAUUCCCAGAAUGACACAAAUUACAAAUUUAUAGGGUAGAAAAUAACAAAACAAAAGUAAAAAAAAAAAAUUAUAGUACUAGUUAUUUUACAAGGGUAAUUCUAUCAAUUUGAUUGAUGACUGAUACAAUAAACUUAAGGUGAAAAAUUAAACAAAUUUAAAUUUUUAAAGUAUUUUUUAUAAUAAAGUAAACUUAAGAUGGAUAACCUAUAAUUUCCAUAUCAUUAUUUGUCCAAAUCCUCCAUUUAGACUAGCCAAAUGAAGUUAUUUGGAAGCUACUCUACCAGGCCCCAAGUUUACUAGUAAACGUGUGAUUGCCAGUCACUAAUAAAAAGAGAAAAAUAACAAAAAAAGCAAUGUUAUUGAGGAUAACCAAAAUAUAUGUGUAGAUUUACACCAAUCAUAUGCAGAAACCAAAUUCCCUCAAAAGUCUAAAAGGCCAUAGAAUACCUUGACUCGCUAUUGUGAUUGAAAAACGUGUGUGGCGAUUAAUGUACGGGCGGAGGAUUUAACGCGGGAAGAAAAAUAGAAGACGACUAUGAGUCUGCUCAUGGUGUCCUUUUCCAGGGUUAAAAUGUUUAUAUAAACUUUGUAAGAGCUUCAUGAAUCCAAUAGCUCCAUCAACCGAAAAGUUAAUUAUAAGCAUGGAUCCGGCAUCCUCCAUUUUCAGAUUGGCGGCCCUUGUAUGGGUUGUAAUUUUUACUUGUGAUAACGUUGCUGCUAGAACUGGUACAUUUGUGACAGCAUCUGCUUUGUCACCCUUACAGUUAGAAGCGAAAGCUUUACUCAAUACUGGCUGGUGGGACAGCAGCUUCUGGACGGCCAACUACUCUUCGGAUCAUUGCAAGUGGAUUGGAUUCACUUGCAAUUCAGCUGGAAGCAUAAUCGGGCUACACUUAUCAAGGGAUUAUGGUAGCUUCGAGGAACCGGUACAGCUUAGCCAAUUAAACUUUUCUUGCUUUCCGAACCUCGAAAAUCUGACAUUCCAGUCCUUUCCUCUUGCUGGAAGCAUACCACCAGAAAUUAGUGCUCUUUCAAAACUCCAACGGCUGGACUUGUCCUCGAACAGGCUUACAGGUAACAUACGAAAUUAACUUCACUACCGCAUAUUAUUUGAGCAAUGAUAUUUAAAUGGAUAAGUUUGAGAGAAUACUGACAAAAACAAAGGUAAACCUGGCCUAUUUUAUCAUAUUAAUUGAAAAAAAAAUAAUUAACAUGGUAAAAACACAUUUCUACCAUUGUUCCUAUUAAUAUCAACGUUUAAUUUCUUUAAUUCUUUUUUUUGGUUAUUUUCGUAAAUGGAUAACGUAAAUGUAUAACAGGUAGUAUCCCUUCAGAGAUUGGGAAUUUGAGGAAUCUUGUCUAUCUAAAUAUUUCUAAAAACAUCCUUACUGGAACUGUUCCUUCAACUCUUGGUAGUUUAACCAACUUGAAAAAUAUGGGCCUUUCUUACAACCAGCUCAGUGGUCCGCUACCUCAGGAAAUUGGGAACCUGAAGAAUCUAAUGGAGUUGGACUUGGGCACUAAUAGCCUAAUUGGGCCUAUUCCUUCAACUCUUGGUCGCUUAACCAAUUUGAAUUAUAUGAGCCUCUCUCGCAACAUGUUCGGUGGUCUACUACCUCAGGAAAUUGGGAACCUGAAGAAUUUGAUCGAGUUGAAUGUGGGCAGUAACAGCCUAAUUGGGCCGAUUCCUUCAACUCUAGGUCUUUUGACCGAUUUGAGCUAUUUGGAUCUUAGUUGUAACCAAUUCAGCAGCUCAAUUCCAAAUGAUACAACCAAACUUCUGGUAGAAAUGUGUUUUUACCAGAAGUGAUACAACCAAGUGAUACAACCAAACUUCUGGUUCUCUUUAUUGAAAUUUUUUUUCCCAUCACCGUAGUCAUAAUCUUUGCACGCUUGCUACUUGUUAAACGUAAGUACAAGAAACCCGAACUCAAGGAAAGAGCAACCAAUAGCAUAGAUGUAUUUUCAGUAUGGAAUUAUGAUGGUAGGAUUGUCUACGAGGAUCUGAUUAGAGCCACGGAAGAUUUUGACAUUAGAUAUUGCAUUGGUACCGGAGGCUAUGGCAGCGUCUACAAGGCACAGCUUCCCAACGGCAAAGUAUUUGCACUGAAAAAGCUUCACACUUCAGAAACAGAGGAAUUGGCAUUCAUCAAGAGUUUCCGAAACGAGGCUCAAGUACUUUCUCAAGUACUGCACCGUAAUAUUGUCAAAUUAUACGGUUUUUGCUUGCACAGAAAAUGCAUGUUUCUCAUUUACGAGUACAUGGAGGGAGGAAGCUUGUUCUGCAAUUUACACAAUAAUGAAGAAGCCGUAGAGUUGGAUUGGGCUAAGAGGGUGAACAUUGUAAAAGCCAUGGCACAUGCUUUGGCUUACUUGCAUCAUGAUUGCUCACCAUCAAUUGUUCACCGCGACAUAUCGAGCAACAACAUUCUACUUAACUCAAAUUUGGAGGCAUUUGUUGCUGACUUUGGCACUGCCAGGCUUCUACAUGCUGAUUCGUCCAAUCGAACUCUAUUAGCAGGAACAUAUGGAUAUAUAGCUCCAGGUUUACCCUUAUGAUAUCUAUUCUUCUCACGAUCGAUCCUUUACUUGCUUUAAUUUAAUUUUUUUUACUUUAUAUUGCAGUCAUGUCACCUAACAUCUCUCUUAAAUAGAUAGCCAGCUGGCUAGAGAAACUCACAAAUGAAAUUAUCUCUUUUAUUAGUGGGAAGCUACAUUCUAUGAUUACAUUUUUUUUUUUUGGGCAGAACUUGCCUACACCAUGGCUAUGACGGAGAAAUGUGAUGUUUAUAGCUUUGGAGUGGUGACGCUUGAAGUAUUAAUGGGAAAGCACCCAAGGGACCUUCUUUCAUCAUUGUCAUCAUCAUCUGAUCCAAAAAUCAUGCUGAUUGAUGUUUUAGACCCACGUCUUCCACCUCCAGUUGAUCGAAAGGUUAUUCGAGAUAUUCUUCUUGCUUCAACAAUUUCAUUUGCAUGCUUGCAAUCGAACCCAAAGUCUCGACCUACAAUGCAAUCAGUGUCUCAAGAAUUUCUCAUCACUCGCAAGACUCCAUUGGUAAAGCAUGCUGCUAUUCAAGAUAUUUCCAUCUCACAACUUAGAAACUAAUAAAAGGAUGAUCAAUAUAAUUGCUAAUCUUAAAUGUAUUUCGUUGGUAGCAUUUUGUAAAACUUUGGUGAGGGUGAAUUUUGGUUUCAUGAAAGCGUUGCCUUUCUUGAAUAAAAAUGAAAGUAACUCUUCUAAAGUGAAAUUGGUGCUUCCAAUCUAAACUAUUAAAUCUUUAAUUAUUUUUUCUGUGUGAAUUGCAUGUGCAAAUAAGGUCAGCAAGUUUUGCUAUUGUGCUAAGUCAUAUUUGUUAUUAAUGUAUUGUAACUUUUAACAAAUAACUACUUUAGAACAAAAAUGUAAUUAUAAAAUAAAAGUUGGGAGUGUAUAAUCAAUAUAAAUUUUAACUAAUAAUUUUGACAAAAUAAUAAAAAUAUUAUAGGCUUAUCGUCGUACAAGUGUGAGAUCAAAUCAACAAACAAGAUACUCAAAGGCAACAAACAAGAGACAUGCAAAUUUAGUGAUCUCUGUUUGUGUGAGGCUAAGGGUCAAUUUUGGAAUUAUUGUUCAAAUAGUCAAAAUUGAUUGUUUGAAAAGCGACAAACGUGUGUGCGUUGCUGUUCGGUAAAUUAUAUUAAUUUGACACUUAAAAAUUAAGAAAAAAAAAAGAAUAUUCUGGAUUAAACCAACUUGGAGAGGUUGCACUUGUAAUAUCUAUUCUUAAAAAAUUAAAAAAAAAAAAGAUAAAUUAUAUAGCCCGAAAAGACCUUGACUCCAAAAGUAGUCUCUACUUCAAUCUGUGGAAAAUUUUGAUACAAUUAAGUUCUAAAUUUUUCCACAAGAUAAUUGUUGUUGGUGGUACACGAUAAACACGUCUGCCUAGGUUUGUGGGAAAACUGGAAUAGAUUACAAAGACUGGAAUAAAUUAUAAUAAGGCUAAGCAAUAAGACCUGGUGCUCAAAUUCUAAAAGUAUUACAAAGACUUUUGGUACCUUCCUUAAAUUCACUUUAUACUUGAAUAGCCAUAUCUGUUCUUGUGAUUUCCUCAAGGAAAAAAGAUAAUAUGGAUCAUUUAACUCAGCCUUUUCAACUUUUGAUUUGCUUUCAGCUAUUGCACUUAUAUUUUCAGUUUUUUUUUUUCAGAUUAAUUAGUAACAUACAGUAAUAUAUUCUAAUUUGGACACUGCUAGCUUCUUCUAGAUGAUUAAACAUGGAAUUGGAGACAUCUUCUGCUCUGGGUUGUGGAACCAAAGUUACUCCUAUCGUUAUAAGCACUCAGUAUAGUUUGGAAUUUUACAAAACUGGCGACAAAUUCACCAAUUAACAAGUCUCCAUAACAAGAUUAUGAGCUAGUAUUAGUAACAAGACUUUGGCACUGCCAGGCUUCUGUAUGCUGAUUCGUCCAAUCGAACUCUAUUAGCAGGAACAUAUGGAUAUAUAGCUCCAGGUUUACCCUUAUGAUAUCUAUUCUUCUCAUGAUCGAUCCUUUAUUUGGUUCAAUUUUAUUUUAUUUUGCUUUAUAUUGCAGUCAUAUCCCAUAACAUCUCUCUUAAAUAGAUAGCCAGCUGGCUAGAGAAACUCACAAAUGGAAUUAUCUCUUUUAUUAGUGGGAAGCUACAUUCUAUGAUUACAUUUUUUUUUUUGGGCCAGAACUUGCCUACACCAUGGUUAUGACGGAGAAAUGUGAUGUUUAUAGCUUUGGAGUGGUGACGCUUGAAGUAUUAAUGGGAAAGCAUCCAAGGGACCUUCUUUCGUCAUUAUCAUCAUCAUCUGAUCCAAAAAUCAUGUUGAUUGAUGUUUUAGACCAACGUCUUCCACCUCCAGUUGAUCAAAAGGUUAUUCAAGAUAUACUUCUUGCUUCAACAAUUUCAUUUGCAUGCUUGCAAUCGAACCCAAAGUCUCGACCUACAAUGCAAUAUGUGUCUCAAGAAUUUCUCAUCACUCGCAAGACUCCAUUGGUAAAGCAUGCUGCUAUUCAAGAUAUUUCCAUCUCACAACUUAGAAACUAAUAGAGGAUGAUCAAUAUAAUUGCUAAUCUUAAAUGUAUUUCGUUGGUAGUAUUUUGUAAAACUUUGGUAAGGGUGAAUAUUGGUUUCAUGAAA
rnacentral:lncRNA from 1 species